rnacentral:rRNA from 1 species
UGGGGAAUCUUCCGCAAUGGACGAAAGUCUGACGGAGCAACGCCGCGUGAGUGAUGACGGCCUUCGGGUUGUAAAGCUCUGUUAAUCGGGACGAAUGGUUCUUGUGCAAAUAGUGCGAGGAUUUGACGGUACCGGAAUAGAAAGCCACGGCUAACUACGUGCCAGCAGCCGCGGUAAUACGUAGGUGGCAAGCGUUGUCCGGAAUUAUUGGGCGUAAAGCGCGCGCAGGCGGAUUGGUCAGUCUGUCUUAAAAGUUCGGGGCUUAACCCCGUGAUGGGAUGGAAACUGCCAAUCUAGAGUAUCGGAGAGGAAAGUGGAAUUCCUAGUGUAGCGGUGAAAUGCGUAGAUAUUAGGAAGAACACCAGUGGCGAAGGCGACUUUCUGGACGAAAACUGACGCUGAGGCGCGAAAGCCAGGGGAGCGAACGGGAUUAGAUACCCCGGUAGUCCUGGCCGUAAACGAUGGGUACUAGGUGUAGGAGGUAUCGACCCCUUCUGUGCCGGAGUUAACGCAAUAAGUACCCCGCCUGGGGAGUACGACCGCAAGGUUG